rnacentral:lncRNA from 1 species
AAAGGAUGAGAGGUGUGUUGAAAAUGAGCAGCCAAGGGGUGUAUUUAUAGAUUCGAUACGCUGCUAAAAAUAGAAAAAAUUAGCAGCCAUAGACUCCCCCCAUGGCCAGCCACACAUGUGGCAAGUUUGAAGCUUUCAAACUUUCUAAAUUUAGCUAAUGGCAAAUCUACAAAAGCAUGGUAAGUGGAGGGGUUUGAAUGCAAUUUCAAGGAAGAUUCAAAGGCUGUUUUGCAAGCCAAAUAAUCAUCUAAAUAAGCUCAUUGGGU